rnacentral:rRNA from 1 species
GAGCGAACGCUGGCGGCAGGCUUAACACAUGCAAGUCGAACGGGCACUUCGGUGUCAGUGGCAGACGGGUGAGUAACGCGUGGGAACAUACCUCUUGGUUCGGAACAACACAGGGAAACUUGUGCUAAUACCGGAUAAGCCCUUACGGGGAAAGAUUUAUCGCCGAGAGAUUGGCCCGCGUCUGAUUAGCUAGUUGGUGUGGUAAAAGCGCACCAAGGCGACGAUCAGUAGCUGGUCUGAGA